rnacentral:lncRNA from 1 species
AUGCUAUGGGAGAGCAUUACAUUACAAAAUGAGAGUCAUGUUGACACUUUGCAGUUUGGGGCUUGGAGCAUCUGCUUUGCAGAGUGCUGUUCAUUUGUUGCCUCACCUUUUUGCAGAAGGAACAUCGACAGUCACUGUACCAGGGCCUCCAGGACCACCUGGAGCCCUGGGACCCCCAGGACCACCCGGCCUUCCAGGACCUGCUGGCCCAGCUGGUCUCCCAGGACAGCAAGGUCCCCGAGGAGAGAGAGGCAUCCCAGGGGAAUCGAUCAUUGGAAGCAGCUCUUCUUCAGGGGCUGCUUCUGCUCCUCACACUGCUCAAUUGCAAGGCCCCCCUGGACCACCAGGACCACCAGGACCACCAGGAGCCUCCAUCACAGGCCCUCCAGGACCCCGAGGUCCAGCAGGUAA